rnacentral:rRNA from 1 species
GCUUGUCUCAAAGAUUAAGCCAUGCAUGUCUAAGUAUAAAUGCUAUACAAUGAAACUGCGAAUGGCUCAUUAAAACAGUUAUAGUUUAUUUGGUAAUCGAAUUUACAUGGAUAACCGUGGUAAUUCUAGAGCUAAUACAUGCGUCAGAACCCAACUUUACGGAAGGGUCGUGUUUAUUAGAUACAAAACCAACAUCUCGUUGGUGAUUCAUAAUAACCAAGCGAAUCGUCGGUUUACCGACGAUAGAUCGUUCAAGUUUCUGACCUAUCAGCUUUGGUCGGUAGGGUAUUGGCCUACCGAGGCAAUGACGGGUAACGGAGAAUUAGGGUUCGAUUCCGGAGAGGGAGCCUGAGAAACGGCUACCACAUCUAAGGAAGGCAGCAGG